rnacentral:rRNA from 1 species
UACGUAUGGAGCAAGCGUUAUCCGGAUUUACUGGGCGUAAAGGGAGCGUAGACGGUCCUGCAAGCCAGAUGUGAAAGCCCGGGGCUCAACCCCGGGACUGCAUUUGGAACUGUAAGGCUAGAGUGUCGGAGAGGCAGGCGGAAUUCCUAGUGUAGCGGUGGAAUGCGUAGAUAUAUGGAAGAACACCAGUGGCGAAGGCGGCUCUCUGGUCUGCAACUGACGCUGAGGCUCGAAAGCAUGGGUAGCGAACAGG